GAAGCCAAGCUUGCUUGGUGGAUCAGUGGCGAACGGGUGAGUAACACGUGAGCAACCUGCCCUGGACUCUGGGAUAAGCGCUGGAAACGGCGUCUAAUACUGGAUAUGAGCCCCUAUCGCAUGGUGGGGGUUGGAAAGAUUUUUUGGUCUGGGAUGGGCUCGCGGCCUAUCAGCUUGUUGGUGAGGUAAUGGCUCACCAAGGCGUCGACGGGUAGCCGGCCUGAGAGGGUGACCGGCCACACUGGGACUGAGACACGGCCCAGACUCCUACGGGAGGCAGCAGUGGGGAAUAUUGCACAAUGGGCGAAAGCCUGAUGCAGCAACGCCGCGUGAGGGAUGACGGCCUUCGGGUUGUAAACCUCUUUUAGCAGGGAAGAAGCGAAAGUGACGGUACCUGCAGAAAAAGCGCCGGCUAACUACGUGCCAGCAGCCGCGGUAAUACGUAGGGCGCAAGCGUUAUCCGGAAUUAUUGGGCGUAAAGAGCUCGUAGGCGGUUUGUCGCGUCUGCUGUGAAAUCCCGAGGCUCAACCUCGGGCCUGCAGUGGGUACGGGCAGACUAGAGUGCGGUAGGGGAGAUUGGAAUUCCUGGUGUAGCGGUGGAAUGCGCAGAUAUCAGGAGGAACACCGAUGGCGAAGGCAGAUCUCUGGGCCGUAACUGACGCUGAGGAGCGAAAGGGUGGGGAGCAAACAGGCUUAGAUACCCUGGUAGUCCACCCCGUAAACGUUGGGAACUAGUUGUGGGGACCAUU
rnacentral:rRNA from 1 species